AACGAACGCUGGCGGCAUGCCUAACACAUGCAAGUCGAACGAGACCUUCGGGUCUAGUGGCGCACGGGUGCGUAACGCGUGGGAACCUGCCCUUAGGUUCGGAAUAACUCCCCGAAAGGGGUGCGAAUACCGGAUAAUGUCUUCGGACCAAAGAUUUAUCGCCUUUGGAUGGGCCCGCGUUGGAUUAGCUAGUUGGUAGGGUAAAAGCCUACCAAGGCGACGAUCCAUAGCUGGUCUGAGAGGAUGAUCAGCCACACUGGGACUGAGACACGGCCCAGACUCCUACGGGAGGCAGCAGUGGGGAAUAUUGGACAAUGGGGGAAAGCCUGAUCCAGCAAUGCCGCGUGAGUGAUGAAGGCCUUAGGGUUGUAAAGCUCUUUUACCCGGGAUGAUAAUGACAGUACCGGGAGAAUAAGCUCCGGCUAACUCCGUG
rnacentral:rRNA from 1 species